CGGACGGGUGAGUAACGCGUGGAAAACCUGCCGUAUACUGGGGGAUAACACUUAGAAAUAGGUGCUAAUACCGCAUAAGCGCACAGCUUCGCAUGAAGCAGUGUGAAAAACUCUGGUGGUAUACGAUGGUUCCGCGUCUGAUUAGCUAGUUGGUGGGGUAAUGGCCUACCAAGGCAACGAUCAGUAGCCGGCCUGAGAGGGUGAACGGCCACAUUGGGACUGAGACACGGCCCAAACUCCUACGGGAGGCAGCAG
rnacentral:rRNA from 1 species